GCAAUACUUGCAAUGUGUUGCGGAUCACGACCCGCCACCUGACGGACAAUUAACUAGGUCGGGCCGACUAGUUCGCAAGCCCACUAUUUUUGAUUUAUAGUAUGUGUAAGGCCGCCAGGGGUGCUGUGUUCAGCGUCUUCUUGGUGGCCGAUCUCGGUUAAUGUUCUUUCUUCGCAAUUGUUCAACAAGGUAGAGCAGACGCUAUUAUAAGUUGUGUCAGAGUCUGAAUAAAAGCUAGAGAAUCAGCAACAAUUUACCUGAGUCAAGUGUCUUCAAAUCAGUAAUUACUUAUCAGAAUUCUGUACAACUCGAUUAAGUAACACUGCUAAUAGGUCAAGCCACGCUACAGUCGUGUCAAAGAAAGAGUGUUGAGCACCUUGCUUAGUCUAAAAGCUGAAUUCAGCCACUCCAGGGAUGUACCCGAGAAGAACUCCAAUUAGUCAUGAAGUAUCUCAGCGUAUCAAUGUAAUCUAAGUUACAAGAUAGUUCUAAGUUAGUGUGUUAAGUCAAGAUACCUAAACUUCCUGAGAGGAUUACCGACUCGUGAGCCAACGCCAAGAGAACAAAUUCAUCCAGAGAUUCCCUUGCCAGCUGUGCUCCAGCACCCAACACCACGUGAACCAGACUACGGAAGCACUCCGAUUGCAAGGUUUUACGGGUACCAAGGACCUAGAAGCCAUCCGAGGUCGCGUGGUCAAUCUACCGUUGCAGAGCAGUCAACAUCUCUAGCAACCAGGAACGUGGUCGUUCGCAGCCUUCUCGAAAACGAAAGAAGAAGAGAGGCUGAGGUUAUUGAACAAGAAGUCGGUGCAGAAGAAACUGAAGACAUCACUGAAGUGGAGACCAAUUUUUCGAUCAGAACAAACGAUUCUGAGACUAUCAUUCAAGAAGAAAGUGAAGUAGAGGAGACAGUGAAAGGAGAGAGUGAAGAAAGCGGUUCGACCACAUCUGAGGAAUUCAUCUUGUCCAUCAACGAACGAGAAUUUUGAAAAACCUCAGCGAAUUCG